CCCUUAGCCUGAGUCCCUUAGCCCGAGUCAGCUGGCAUGGGCCAGCCAUGGGUUUUUAAUUGCAGUGUAGACACACCCUUGGAGCCAGCAGGCUAGUGCACUGUAGAUUGACACCCCAGCGUGCUGUGCACUAACUCUCUGUCUAGACAAGCCCUAAUAUUCUGCAGUCCUUUCCCUUUCAGCAUUAUGCCUCCGUGUGAAACAAUAUUAUUGCUAUUUUUGUAGGCAAAAUUAGGAUAUAAACAUGUUAAAAUAUUUGGCAGUAGCUCAUGAAAUAAUAGAAUACAGUUUUGGAACUGGUGAAUCCAAUAUACUGUAGAUGCUGUAACGGGAUAGAAGAAAUGGAGUUAAUGCAAAAAAAAAAAAAAGAGAGAGAGAGAGAAAAAGAUCUAGAUACAUCUCAUUAACAGCUUAGUGCUGUAUUUGCAUUUUUGUUUAAUACUCAAAUAUUGAAGCACUGCAGAUGAGCCAUAACUUUAAAUUCUCUAAAAAAUAAAUAAAAAUUAGAUAAAUGCAGAUGAUAUGCAAAUAGUCACCUGGAACCAGUCUAUUGUUCAGCAGUUAACGAGAGCGGGAAAGUGAUGCAGGUGCUCAUGAAAAGCCUUUCCUAUAAGACUGUAUGCCAAUGCAUAAGUUCCUUCUGAAUUUUUCCUUGAAUUUAUUAUACAGGAUAUAUGAGGUUGGCUCAUUAACUGGGAGAAGUUGAUGCAUCGGUAGAUGGGGAAAUACAUGCAGAAAACUGCAACCAUAUAAAGAGCAGACAAACACAGUAUAAUUGCACAAUACUUGGGCUAUUAUACGAAAAAAGAAAUAACCUUUUCUAUUUCCAGUUUUGCUUGAUUAUCGAAUAAAAUAGGAAUAUCACCAGCACUUAGGAUAGUAUUUAGAUCUUCUAAAAAUGACUCCUCCUAGAGCAGAAGAGACAGUUUCUUCAUUUAUACCCCAGAUUACAAAAGCAUUUUAAAAAUCACCUGUUCACUUUCAGUUUAUUUCCUGUCCCGAUAUUCCUGGAUUGGUUGUUAGUUAUGAAAGAGAUUUAUGCUUUAAAACCAUCGUAUUUAUUUCCUUCCCUUUAACAAGUAACUAUAAAAUAAGUAUAAUUUUCCUACUGUGCAUUUUGAGUGUCAGAAUAGGCAAUUUAAAUGUGAAGCUUCAAAACACUAUUAAUGCUGCAAUUUUGUGACAAAACACCUCUCCAUUUUCAGUGCUUCUUGCUCUAUUUCUUCAUUCCUAAUGAUUUAUUGUAUUAUUUCUUUGACUGUAAUGGUUAGGGCCCUAAGUGAUAGGCUUAUUUUUAUAUUUCCCUCACAAAUUAUUUUAUUUUAAUCAUGGCUGCUUCUGCCUUUAUUUGUUGAUCAGCAAAGGGGAACUGAGUGGAAGUCCCAUUUUCCCCAGCACCUUUGUGAGAUUGUCUCUCCAUUCACUCACUGUGUAUGAAACCUGAAUACUAAGAUGGUAGAGCUCGCAGUUUGCCAUAAAUGUCUCCAGUCUCGUUACAGAGUGCCGACCACUGCCUUCCAUACCUGAUGACAAGAGGGAAAAACUGUCACAAUCACUAACAUGAAAAUGCAAGUAAUGAUAGAGAUUAGAGAGUUUGUUGAUCAUUAGCUCUAAAUCCUUCAAAUGGAAUGAAUUCAGUUUCAACAAAAACACUGUUGUUCAAUAAGCUUACCCAUCUCUGCUUUCCUCACAAAUAUACUACAAGCACAAGUAACCUCUCAGUACUCAGUGUGUGGUAUAUACAACUGCAGGCUAUGGGAUAAUGCAUCUGCCUCACUGAGGUAAAAUGUAAAUUAUCCAGCAACCUGCUGCUGUUUGAAGAUAUCUAAAGACCAUUUAAAUUUUAAAUAGGCAUUCAAAAUCCAGAGGACAUACCACCAUGCCUACUUUAUAAAUAUAUUUGCACUGAAAACAUUCAUGGAAGAAGGCAUUGAACACACUGGACAUUUAUAGAAGUACAAUGUACUUUCAGUGUACUUUGACAGGUUAAAAGGGAUGACUAACAUACAAAAAAUUUAGCCUGAAAACUAGGACAUCUGUAAAAAAACAAAAUAUGCACCAUUUACAUACACACACUGUGUGUGAGAAAUAAUUUUGUGUAUAUAAUAACACUAAUAAUAUUUAGCUCUUGCAUACUACUUUUCAUAAUUCAACCUCAAUUAAUUAUUACCAUCAAUAUUCCCUUUUACAGAAGGGGAAACUAGGGCACAAAGACUUGAAGUAGCUUUUCCAAGGUCAUGCAGCAGGUCCAUGGUAGAUCCCAGGUCUCCUGGUCCCUAAUCACUACCUCCUCGACAUGGCGGCUAUAAAUGCAUUUUAGCAAGGAUGUAUAGCCACUAUUAAAGCUAAAAGCAUAUUUCUCUCUGGAUCAACUGGCCUGUAUCCCCAUGAAGAAGCGUAAGCAGGCCUAAAAAAUGAUAGUCCUCUAGAGUGCACCUGAAUAAGGGACUCCCAGUCCCAUGUCUUUGAAACACAGCUCUUAAGGGCUCUGGGUAAUGAAGUCCAUAGAGUGCCACAGGGGGCCUGGUUCCUUGUGUGAAUGCCCUGAGAGGUGGAAAAUUCUUUGUAGGUCUCAGGACGUCUAUGAGUUGGGAGGGCUGUGCCCCAUGCUCACUCCAUAUGUGGCCAGAUUCUAGCCAUACUUAAUGACAUGUCUGAAACUCUGUUGUCUCAUGACCACCAUUUUCUAAUACCUAGCUUUCAGUCUCCCCUGGGUUUUAUUGUAGGGAGACCUGAGUCUUCAGAGAGGCUGAAACAACAGACUUACAUUUGUAUAAGCGAAAUAUUAAAUAAAUGUAAUUUUUUUUAGAGAGUUCAUUUGAAAGAACCCAUCAACUAAAAUUUGUUUCCUUUGUCCAAAAUAGCCACCUUUGUGUUCUCUGAUUGCUGCCAUCAGUCACAGGUCAUCCCAUCUCGGCCAUCGCAACCCAUCCCUGACACCCCUUUCUCCACAACACACACUUUCACUUUUUAGUUCAUUCAGAUUGGUUAUUUCAUUGUAAGGCUGUUCUGACUUUUCAUUCAUCUUUGAAGAUACAGAAUCAUAUCGGAAAAGGCUGCACUUCAUAUCAUCUCCUAUCCAGUGCCCAAUAAACAAAGAGAAUGCAAGGUUGAAGAAGUCCACCUUGCAGCUGGAGCAGAAGGAGUUACUCUGCUGAGAAGUUACACAUUGCUCUUUCCUGUGGAGAAAAUUAAAAACAAGCUUUCUGGCAGUUCCAGCUCUGCAGCACAUUCUAGAUACUGAAUUGUGUCAUACUGUUUAAAAGACAGACUACAAUACAUCUCCUGAAAUGGAAGAAGCUGUGACUUUUUAAGUGCAAAGGGAUCAAUGAAAGGAUGACAGGAAUAUGGACUUGCCUGAGACUGCUCUUGACACACAAACCCGGACACUGUUACUAGCUGUAGCAUACUGUAAGAGUCGGUAGUUUAUGACUGAGAUUAAAAACUAUAAACAUGAAUAUGGCCAAAUAG